GGGGAAUCUUGCGCAAUGGGCGAAAGCCUGACGCAGCGACGCCGCGUGGGUGAUGAAGGCCUUCGGGUUGUAAAGCCCUGUGGAGAGGGACGAAUAAGUUCGACCUAAUACGUCGGGCGAUGACGGUACCUCUUUAGCAAGCACCGGCUAACUCUGUGCCAGCAGCCGCGGUAAGACAGAGGGUGCAAACGUUGUUCGGAAUUACUGGGCGUAAAGCGCGUGUAGGCGGUCGUGCAAGUCGGGUGUGAAAGCCCAGGGCUCAACCCUGGAAGUGCAUUCGAUACUGCAUGGCUAGAGUCCCGGAGAGGAUGGUGGAACUCUCGGUGUAGAGGUGAAAUUCGUAGAUAUCGAGAAGAACACCGGUGGCGAAGGCGGCCAUCUGGACGGUGACUGACGCUGAGACGCGAAAGCAUGGGGAGCAAACA
rnacentral:rRNA from 1 species